rnacentral:rRNA from 1 species
GAUGAACGCUGGCGGCGUGCCUAAUACAUGCAAGUCGAGCGAACGGACGAGAAGCUUGCUAUCUGAUGUUAGCGGCGGACGGGUGAGUAACACGUGGAUAACCUACCUAUAAGACUGGGAUAACUUCGGGAAACCGGAGCUAAUACCGGAUAAUAUUUUGAACCGCAUGGUUCAAAAGUGAAAGACGGUCUUGCUGUCACUUAUAGAUGGAUCCGCGCUGCAUUAGCUAGUUGGUAAGGUAACGGCUUACCAAGGCAACGAUGCAUAGCCGACCUGAGAGGGUGAUCGGCCACACUGGAACUGAGACACGGUCCAGACUCCUACGGGAGGCAGCAGUAGGGAAUCUUCCGCAAUGGGCGAAAGCCUGACGGAGCAACGCCGCGUGAGUGAUGAAGGUCUUCGGAUCGUAAAACUCUGUUAUUAGGGAAGAACAUAUGUGUAAGUAACUGUGCACAUCUUGACGGUACCUAAUCAGAAAGCCACGGCUAACUACGUG